GGGACGGUGGGGAGCGGCGAUGGCGGAAGAACCUGGGGCCCAGCGGCGUUGCGCCACCGCCAUGGCGGUGCUGCGGCGUGCGGGUGCUACCGAGGCUGACGCGUGGGUCAGUUCCAAAGCCGCCGCCCCGCCGUCAGGUCCCCGAGGGUGGUGGCCAGGCACACUGCGGGCAGACGCGGGGGCGAGUGGGCGGCCGAGCACCGACGGCCCCGAGCAGCGGCGGCCCGUUGCAGCCAGCACCAGAGUCACCUUCUGCGGCGCACUGGGAAUUCAAGCCAGGUCACUAGAACAAGGCUCCAUCUCCAGGCUUUUUACCAUUUUGAGAGAGGGUCUCCUUCAGUUGCUCAUCUGACCUCAAACUUUCAUUCCUUCUGCCUCAGCCUCCUAGUUGCUGGGAUUACAGACAUCCAGGACAGUGAAUAUAAUUGCUUUUCAACCCAAGUUCAUCAGACCCAACCUUGUAAGCAAUUUCCUGCCAAGAGUACCAUCAUCACCCAACAUAAUGAACUCUACCUUGAAAUUGUGCAAGAGGGCCAUCAGUAAACACCAAAUGCUGAGCAGCCACCCAAUCCUUUGCCUCCUCUCUCAGCCUUGCCACUGCUUCUUCUGAUCUAGAGGACAAAGUCAUGGACCAUUCGCUCCUUGUGAAGCAGGCUCUGGAAUCUGCAGAGAUGACACUAAGAUCCCAGUUGCCUUUGACACUGAGCUUAGAAGAUUCUGGGCAAUGGUUCCCCCUUCUGCCUCAACUGGGAGAACCCUGGUGGGAAAGCCUAUAUUUCCAUUGGAAACUGCUCUCAAGGCCCUGGGGGCCGCUAUAUUGGGUCUGCCUCCACCUGGUCACUUGCCUAGAGCCCACACACCAUAGAACCAUCCCUAGUUCUACCUUCCUGCCUUUCUGGAACCCUGUGCCCAUGACACCAAAGAACUCAAAUUCAUCCUCAGGAGAGUGCCAUGCUGCAAAGCAACCCAGCAGUCACCUGCCCUGGAAGUUUCUGUUGGUCAAAUCCAUAGUCUUAGAGACAGGCUCCCCAGAGACAUGCAGACUUUUAAUCCUGACCCAUGACCACUGAGUCCUAGGAGUACUGAGCGGUCAGACUGGUAGAUUUUAUUUCAACUUCUGUUGCCGAAAAAUGUAAGAUGUAUCACUUACCAAAGUCUCCUUGUUUACUUUCUAAUAGGCAAUCGAUGUUAUUUUUAGAGACCCUCAUAAAUAUUUGGUUCCCUUGCUCAACAGGAGACAGAAUGAAGAGAUAAGAGAGGAUGUAGGAGUGCUGCAAGGGAUGGGAGACAGCUCUGAUUCUGAGCUGUGCUGUGGACUUCACAUCAGAGCCUUAGAGAAGGUCUCCUUUGGUGCACAGAGGAGACAGAGUCUCUCUGAGUUGCUUUGCACGUUGCCCUUGCUGAGUCUGGCUUUGAAUUCAAGAUUGUCCCGCCUUGACCUCCCAAGCCACUGGGAUUACAUAGGUACACCACUAUGCCUGGUUAAUUUGUGUAUGUUUAUUUGAAAUAGAGAAAGAAUUUUUACAGUGAAUUAAAACUAGAAAGAACUAGAGCCUCACUUCUGUCCUACCUCAUCCACCCAUCCUUUCCCUAAUUCAAUCAAAACCAAGGAAUUUCCAAAAUGCCUUCAGGAUUGGUCCAUUUGCACCUUAAUCCUAUCAUGUGGUAAGCCAUUGUUAUAGAUCCUGGCCCCCAUUAGAAGAUGGCAGCGGCUUCCACUGUGGCCUGUGAUAAACAACUCCUUUUAUGGAGAGUUGGCGCGCAAUCCCUGACCACCCUAUGAGAAAGAUCCACGUGGCAGCUUAAGAUUGGUAUGCGGGAGGCUUUAUUAGGCUAUGCUUGGGUGCUCGGCGGGGAGUCGCUAGAAGAUGAUACUUGAAUCAAGGCCUGAAUAAACUGCUGAAAGAAGAAUCCUGUGUCGUGUUUUCCCUUGCCGGCGAGGGGUCGCGACACUAUCAGGUUCUUCAAUCAAUUUAUGAUGCAAAUGAAUGUCCCUCCCACAUGAUUGGGUAUGAUUUCUGAGGUCAGCUGCAGGACAGAACAGUAUGAAAAACUGCAGUCCAUACCAGAAUGAAUGAGUUGCUCCUUGUCCUAGGCCAGGUACACACCUUGGCAUGGUAGGGAAGCUGAAGCUAUGGCAGUCUGUCUGUCAACCUGGGGAUCAUUGACUCUUAGGAGAUCUUAUCUAGAGCCUCUCAUUCUCCCAGGCCUGAACCCAGAAAAGGGGUGGGCCUGGGCACUGGAUAAUUUUCCUGCACUGAGCUGCCACUCUUGCCAGUGUCUCCAGAGCUGCCAAGAUGUGAAUUUUCCAGUAAGCCAGCUGCACCACUGGGCUUACACAGAGCAGGGAGCUGUCUGGGGAACUGAGGUAGUGUACUAACAGAAUAUGUGGUUACACAGAGGGAGUUAAGAUGGACCAGCACCGAGUUCAAGACCUUAGGAUCCAGCAGCCAAUGGCUGAAACCUCUCAGGAGCUCUAGUCACCUCAAGAAGAUGCAAGCACUACCACAAGUGGGGCACAGUGAGCCCUGAACCUCCCAGGAGGUGCCAGUGCCUGUGCAAUUGGACUGACACAAACUCAAGCUGUCUCCUGGAGCCCAGGUGGUCUCUGGAAGCUGCUGAAAACCGAGGUUUACAUUCCAGAGGAACCAAGAAAGGAAAGGAACACCAUAUUGAGGAUGCCUUGAAGUACAAUGCCCUUCAGCCAAAGCCCUGGAAAGAGCCUGACAGACUCCAGUGGAGACCCUCAUACUGUCCCUGUGGACUCAUGCACUGGGACUGGGCCCUGCAUGCCUAGGAGCCUUGAAGUCUUGGCUGUGCUGAUAAUCCCUUAUUUUGUUCUUUCUCUCCUGAAUGAUUUAAAGGUUCUUGAAUAAGAAAAACUCUUUCUGUAAUUAAUUUGUUAAGGAACUCUUCUUUUAGAUGGACUGAGAAUUCUCAUAGUUUCUAAUCUGAUUAAAUUUUUCAUGAUGAUUAAAGCCAUUCCUUUAUUCACUGCUUAUCUGUUGAUCUUGAGGGGGUGAGUAGAGGGUCAGGAUGGGAAGCUGUAUACAUAGGUCUGGAGCAGGAAGGAGAUAAUUACCCAGGUCAGAGCUGUGGCCUGAACCAAUGGGAAUCUCUGGAGAUAUGAGGGUAGUGUGGUAACAGAAUUUGUAGAUGGGUGGCCACUUGCUGGUGUUUCUUCAAAACUUAAUGAGACCUUCCAGAGGAGGGUAGAGAAUCGGCAUCAAUAAAUAUCCUUUAAAUGGUCUACAGUUACUUUCUUAUUAACUAAGAUAGGACACUAAAAUGAAAUCUCUAGUCUUGGGCCUCUGAGUUGACAACCAUGGGAUCCAAGACAUCAGCUCUAGGUCAGACUGUCCAUGCAGUGACAGAAUCCUGCUCUGGUGAUUUGUGUCCAGUGUAAGAGACUUCAUAGAUUGUACUUCAAGAUCACCAAAACUGAAGGCUUGUGUGUGGGGUCACAUGCCUAAUGUCAGUUUGCUCAGGUGGCUUUAGCAAACUAUCAUCAGCAGAGUGUCCUGAUGUGUACCCUUAGUCCAAGCUACACAGGAGACUCAGACAGGAACAUUGCUUGGGCCCAGAACUUUGAAGCCACCCUGGGCAACAGAACAAGAAACUGUCUCAAAAAUUAAAAAGAUAAAUUACACUGGGCUGAGCUUCAAGGAAUGUAAAUGCCUUCAUUAGCAUGGACAUGGACUUUUAAACUUUCCUGUUCCCUGAAAUACAAUAGGUUUUAAAUUGAGGGGAUUUGGAUUUAGAGGGGCCUAGGUGCUAGGUCAUACUGAACAGUGGGAUCACACCUGUUUGCCUUGUUUUUCUCAUCAGUUUAAUUGAGUGUCAAUUGUCCAUGGCAGGGAAUGGUAGUAGAGGUCAAAGUGGAGUUGGAGUAUUUAUGUUGUUAUAGUUAAGGCUUGGUCCCGGGGUUUCAUAAAUUAACUUCCAGACCACUCAUGUAUAAUCAAAUCAAGACUUUAUUGAAGCACACCAGUGGCCACUGGCCAGAACAUAUAACUGUUCCCCUGGUCAUCCCAGAACAAUUGCAAGGGCACUCUUUAUAAGCCUGAAAACCACAAAAAGGACAUUUCGAGGGUGUAGCCAAUGCAAGCAAGCCAAGUUACAGAAGUGGGAGAGUGCAGUCAGGUGGAGGGAUGUGUAGCCAAUCAUAAGUAGCCCAGUUACCCCUGUUACAAAAACAGAGCCCCAUUACACUAGUUAUAGUUAGUUCCUUGUUCUUAAAGGUAGCAAAAGGAAAAGAACAUCUUACCCUGAUCAUGACCCUUCUACUUGGCAUGGUUGUUUUACAAAAUGUAGUUACUAAACAAAAUGGAGUCAUGUUGGCUUGACUAUCACAAUGUGGUUCAGACAUAGAGACAGGAUUCUAAUGGAAUCAUCCUUUCUUCUAAAAACCUAAAGUCUAAAUCAGUUUUUCUUCCUCUCCCUCUCCUCAUUGAUAUUCUUGCACCCUGGGGACAAGUAGAGGAUUAGACACCACAAUAAAGAAAGGAGGCUGGGUGUAGUGGCCCAGGCCUGUAAUCCCAGGGAUUGGAAGUCUGAGGAAGGAGGAAAACAAGUUCAAGGCCAUCGACAGUAAAAUAAGGAAUCCUUCUCUCUCUCUCUCUCUGAAACACACACACACACACACACUCACACACACACAGAUGCAGUUGAGUUUAGAGAUAUUGUGAAGCUCUUGGAACCUGCACCACCAAGGGGGGUAAAAACACAAUGUGUCAUGACCACAUAUGUCAUAGUGCAAAGUUUUCAGACCUUGUGAAAUGUUAUGUUUUACAAAUGUAGUUGUACAAAAGGACAUCUUUUCAUUUUUGAGAACCUUUCAUUGCUUUUACACACAAACCAUGCCUACUAAAAUAUUGAGCAUUGUAAUAAUGUACUUUCCUUUGGUUAAAUUUACAUAAAACAAAAUUAGAACUCUCUAAAAAUCUUUAUGCUUUCAGUAUUGAAAAUGAUGGGAAGAAAUACAAAACAUAGCACAUGAUAAAAAACUUUAUGUGGGCAAAAAUAAAAUAAUAAAUAAAAAAGAAAGAA